UUCCGGUUGAUCCUGCCGGACCCGACCGCUAUCGGGGUAGGGCUAAGCCAUGGGAGUCGUACACCCCCGGGAAGGGGGUGUGGCGGACGGCUGAGUAACACGUGGCUAACCUACCCUCGGGACGGGGAUAACCCCGGGAAGCUGGGGAUAAUCCCCGAUAGGGGAAGAGUCCUGGAACGGUUCUUCCCCUAAAGGGCUAUGGGCUGUUCCCGCUCAUAGCCGCCCGAGGAUGGGGCUGCGGCCCAUCAGGCUGUUGGCGGGGUAAAGGCCCGCCAAACCUAUAACGGGUAGGGGCCGUGGGAGCGGGAGCCCCCAGUUGGGCACUGAGACAAGGGCCCAGGCCCUACGGGGCGCACCAGGCGCGAAACGUCCCCAAUGCGCGAAAGCGUGAGGGCGCUACCCCGAGUGCCUCCGAAAGGAGGCUUUUCCCCGCUCUAAUAAGGCGGGGGAAUAAGCGGGGGGCAAGUCUGGUGUCAGCCGCCGCGGUAAUACCAGCUCCGCGAGUGGUCGGGGCGCUUACCGGGCCUAAAGCGCCUGUAGCCGGCCCACCAAGUUACCCCUUAAAGACCCGAGCUCAACUCGGGGACUGGGGGUAAUACUGGUGGGCUAGGGGGCGGGAGAGGCGGGAGGUACUCCCGGAGUAGGGGCGAAAUCCGUAGAUACCGGGAGGACCACCAGUGGCGGAGGCGUCCCGCUAGAACGCGCCCGACGGUGAGAGGCGAAAGCCGGGGCAGCAAACGGGAUUAGAUACCCCGGUAGUCCCGGCUGUAAACGAUGCGGGCUAGGUGUCAGACGGGCUUAGAGCCCGUCUGGUGCCGCAGGGAAGCCGUUAAGCCCGCCGCCUGGGGAGUACGGUCGCAAGACUGAAACUUAAAGGAAUUGGCGGG
rnacentral:rRNA from 1 species